GUGGGGAAUCUUGCGCAAUGGGCGGAAGCCUGACGCAGCGACGCCGCGUGGGGGAUGACGGCCUUCGGGUUGUAAACCUCUUUCAGCAGGGACGAAGGUGACGUGUACCUGCAGAAGAAGCGCCGGCUAACUACGUGCCAGCAGCCGCGGUAAUACGUAGGGCGCGAGCGUUGUCCGGAAUUAUUGGGCGUAAAGAGCUCGUAGGUGGCUUGUCGCGUCUGCCGUGAAAGGCCUGGGCUUAACUCGGGUUUUGCGGUGGAUACGGGCUGGCUGGAGGUAGGUAGGGGAGAACGGAAUUCCUGGUGUAGCGGUGAAAUGCGCAGAUAUCAGGAGGAACACCGGUGGCGAAGGCGGUUCUCUGGGCCUUACCUGACGCUGAGGAGCGAAAGCGUGGGGAGCGAACAGGAUUAGAAACCCCAGUAGUCC
rnacentral:rRNA from 1 species